rnacentral:lncRNA from 1 species
CACAUUUUUAAUAUUUUACAAAAACUAAAAAUUGAAAACAGCAAAUCAAAUACACUCUAAAAUACAUGAAAACAUAAACGAAGAUCAGGAUGAGAUAAAAUUUACAAUGUGAAAAUAAGAAAUUUAUAAUUGAAAAUGAGUGGUCACAAAAUAGUUGAUCAAGGAAGCAGCGGAACAGCCAAACACCUACGCUCUUUUUUCCUUGGUUAAAUUCCCUCUCACUUGCUGUCCGUAGCACUAACACGCACGGUGAUGGUGAACCUGGUUGCAGCUCUAAGGUCACUGUUGUAUGGCCUGGUGAAAAUGGCCGGGAUUCGACCUCACACAAUCGAGAUCGAACCAGGCACGGUUCUGAGCAUUUGGGUCCCCUCUGAAACAAUCCAAAAGCCAAAAAAAUCUAAAACCACUGAGGCCUCCGCCGACUCCACUGCCAAACCAACAAAACCCGUGGUGGUACUGGUGCACGGCUUUGCGGCCGACGGCAUUGUCACCUGGCAAUUCCAGGUGGGUUCAUUGACAAAAAAGUACUCAGUUUACGUGCCGGACCUGCUCUUUUUCGGCGGUUCAAUCACGGACAGCUCCGACAGGUCGCCGACGUUUCAGGCGGAGUGUCUGGCCAAGGGGCUGAGGAAGUUGGGGAUUGAAAAGUGCACGGUGGUUGGAUUUAGCUACGGCGGUAUGGUUGCGUUUAAGAUGGCGGAAUUGUACCCUGAUUUGGUGGAGGCACUGGCGGUUUCUGGUUCAGUUGUGGCUAUGACGGACUCCAUUAGCCGUGCAACAUUUAGCAGACUUGGGUUCAAUUCAUCGGCGGAGCUUUUGUUGCCGACCACCGUUAAGGGCUGCCGGGCACUUCUCAAAGUUGGAGCUCAUAAGAAGCUUUGGUUCCCUGAUCGGUUCCAUAAGGACUUUCUUGAGGUUAGUUGCGAUAUACAAGCCAUAUAGUUCUUUAUAUAUACACGGAUUUGAUCUAAUAAGUACCUGUGCCAUACUCAGGUGUCAAACUACAAUGGGUGAUGUAAUUAAUUUUAAAUCUAACCAUUAUCAUUCACCACUAUUGUAGUGUGCCACGCAACUCGAUACUUAAUAUAAGCUAAAUAUCGAUGCUUAAAAGAUCAUGACUUAGUAUAUAUAUGAACACCAUAUGCGGCCAAGGGGUGUAGCAGCCCUGGACGGUCCAAAAUUAGGAUGGUCUAGCCCGUCAUGGAUGUAGAUUUCAUCAACCUUGGCAGUAUAGUUCACGGUCGAUACAUCUUAAUUAUAUGAAAUAGAAUUUAGCAAAAAGAAAUAAAAAAAUCUCGAAUCCUCCUGAAAUAUGGAUUUGGCUCUUGAAUAAGUGCAAGUAUACAAGCAGCCUUCCACUCUGUACCCUUGGAAAUAUAACCUGCGAUUUACCUCCCUCACGAUACUCCAGGGUAGGGGUAGUGGAGGACCUUUAAGGUUAGGAUUUAACCUUUUUUUUUUUUUUUUUUUGAUAUGUAAUAGGUCAAAUCACGGCUGCCAAGUCUAUAUCAAGGGCUUCACUACACUAAUAUAGAGGUUGACAUAGGAGAUAAUCGAAAACACACAUGGAGGGUCAGCAUUUUUUAGUUCAUGCGGGACCCACUGCAAAAAAAAAUGUAACGAUUGAUCACCCUUUUUGUCAACCAAUUCGAUCACUUUAACUUACUUCCUAUAUCAAUUCGGUUGACAUCACAAAUCAUGUGAAUGAUAAUCGCUUGUAGUAUAGUCACGUCAUGACUUCACAUUUGAAAUUACUUUUUCUCGUAUCCCGAUUUUAUGUGCUGAAAUAUUAAAACAUUAGUAGAAAAUAAUGGAAGGAAAAGGACUACAAAUCUCAACUUACGGUUUAUUAACAUGAUAUGUUCAUACUUGCCCACUUAAUUGGACAAAUAGAUUUCAUUUUGAAAGAGAUUUAAAUAAAAUAUUUGUUCAUUUGCUUUAUUCGAUCUUGGGAAUAUAGGCACAGAAACUGAGUCAAAUAUAUAGUUGUCUUUUUACCUCAUCAUCAAGGAGACAUCAACCACGUAAAUGCUAUACGUGAACUGGUCGCCUCUUCUUUCCCUAAUGUCACUGAAAGAAAAAGAAAAAUAAAUGAUUAUGCUUCAAUUUGACUACAUUUGAGAUAUAAAUAAAUUUCGAUAACUAUGGGUCAGUUUGAUUAGAAGCAUGGAAUUUGCAUGGUAAGAAAAUAAAUUUUAGACAAUUUAAUUGACCAUAACUUAUUUGCAUGAAAAUUGUCAAUUAAAUGUGUUUGAUUGAUUUAAUUUUUAACCUAGAAAAUAUUAUACUUGUCUUUUUUUAUUGGUGGGUAGAUGAAAGAUAAUUGAAAGAUGGAAGAAAGUGAAUUCCUUAGAAAAUAAAAUCUUAUUCCUCCUAAAGAAAAUAUUUUUCUUGAUUUUGAAUAAAAUAUGAUCACGUAACCAAAAGUAGGAAAGUAUUUUCUAUUAAAAAUAAUGUCAAAUAUAAUAGCACAAAAGUAGGAAUUUAAGUGAAAAACACAUUUUCUAUGAAAAAUAUUGACAAUCAAAUGCAAGAGUUCUUAACUUGAUAUUAAAAUGUUAAAUGUACAGCUCUAAUGUAUACUUAGUUUGACAGCCCUCUCACAUGGGUGUCCUGCGAUUAUUUUAAUCGCAAGCUCCACCCUCUUCAUGUGAGAAGACCGUCAAAGAAGGUGUACAAUAUGCUAUACACCUAGCACAUUUCUUAAUCGAAUGACGUAUUUGAAAAACUAGUUACAUAAUGGUUGGUAUAAAUAUAAAUAAAAUUAAUAUUUUUUCAACAGUUUAACUUUUAAAUAGAAUUUUUGAAUUGUUCAAGUUUCACCACAACUCGAUCAUAAAAUUUACGUAUAGACUUUGAUAGCAAAAAUUUGAAUUCGUGUUGCACGGAUGGAAAAUGUUGAAAAUAUAAUUAUAAAUAAAUAUAUCUUUAUAAAAAAAAUAAAAAAAGAAAAAGGAGAACAUAAUGGGUUUGGUUGCUCACUUUCAAUUACCGACUCAAGUGAUUCAGGGGCUUUCUCAAUUUAGAUUGUGAUUGAUUUUAAAAAUCCUUCUAAAUUUAGGUGUCAUCAAUUGAAUUCUAAUGAAAUCCGUUAAAAUUUAGGUGUCCCAAUUAAAAUUUAAAUAAAAUUCAAUGAAAGCCUCAAAAAUUUAUGUAUCCUCAAUAACAACUGAAUUAUAAGGAUUUCUUUAAUACGAGGAUUUUAAAUGAUUUGGAUGAAUUUCAAGUUUAAAAAUACAUAUAAUCAAAUCUUUAAAAUUUCACUAUAUUUCAUGAUAUUCUUAUGAGAUCUAUGAAAAUCUAUUCAAAUCUAUGAAAUUCAUUGGGAUUUAUAAUCUCUUAAAAUCUAUCAAAAUCUUAAUUAAGGACACCCUGAACGAGCUAGGCUGUAUGUCAUCUUCAAUCAAUAACGCUAAGGGAGGCCGGUUUAUUCGUCAAUUAAAUUUAACAAGUCCAAGCUUAGCCUAGACCUUGAACCGGGUAAAAACUACUAGUGCUCCACUCCGGUUCAUGGCCGGCUUGUUUCGAUAUGUCCACAUACCCUUUAUGACAGAAUUUGAAUAACUUUUUAAAUUUUUUUUAUUAUUAAUUUAAGUUUAAAAUGAUGUGGUUUAACUUGAUAUUGAUGAUAGGUGAUGUUCAACAACAGAAAAGAAAGGGGAGAAUUGCUGGAAGGUCUUGUGGUUAGUAACAAAGAUACUAACAUCCCACAUUUUCCACAGGUGUAUAUUUCACCAUAGGCUUUUAAACUAAUUAUUUUUAAUUACUUUUCACCCAAAUUUUGAGGUCUUUUUUACGGAGGAUACAUCUUCUUUUGGGUGAGAAUGAUCAGAUUUUCAAGCUGGAAGUUGCACGGAAAAUGAAAGAGGAAGUUUUAACAUGUCCUUCAAUAUGGCUAUACUAAUCUUAAAUUCUGACGGCUUGUUAACAUUUUCGAUGGAAUUGAUUCUUAGGCCUAGGCAUUGUUGGGAAUCUAUU